AAAUAUUCCAAAACAAAAAUUAUUGACACUUGUAAGAAUUCUGGAUGCUGAUUAGAGAUAUCUUCUUUUUGGCUCUCUAAGAUUUUGCUUCAGUAUCUUCAAGGAACAGUGAAUUCUAUUCUGCUAUGUGGAAGAAAAGAAUUUCAAGCUUCCUUCUCCGAGCCUCUGCCAGUUUGACACUUCUUUUGAAACCCUGUGAUCAAUGCUGCACAUAAUAUUCUGGAGGAGAUGACAUUUUAGAUGGAUAUGUGGUGCAGAAGUGCCCAGAGCACUGAAGAUGUUUGUGUGGAAGAGCCUGCUUUAGCCAUCCCUUGAUGCCUGAGGUCUGCCAGAGACAGAUGUGUAAACUACAGCUUUUAAAUUAUAUGGAGGAUGUAGGUUAGGAUACGUGGAUGGUGCUUGCUUCAAUGUGGCAGGGGGCUGGAAGAGGCUCUUAAGUCUGCUAGGAAAAUGUUCCUGCCUGUCUUGUUCAUGCUGCUCAGUUACAUGGCCAGAAGACACUCCUCCUAAGAGAAAAAGAAUAACCUUUAGAAGAUCAGAAAGGAGGGUGCUGACAAGUGAAACCUUUUGCAAAGAGUGAGAUGCUGUAGGCCGGGUAUUUUUUUCACCACAGGAGUGUUUCCAGCUGAG
rnacentral:lncRNA from 1 species